CCUAACACAUGCAAGUCGAACGAGACCUUCGGGUCUAGUGGCGCACGGGUGCGUAACGCGUGGGAAUCUGCCCUUGGGUUCGGAAUAACACUUAGAAAUGACUGCUAAUACCGGAUGAUGACUAAAGUCCAAAGAUUUAUCGCCCAGGGAUGAGCCCGCGUAGGAUUAGCUAGUUGGUGAGGUAAAGGCUCACCAAGGCGACGAUCCUUAGCUGGUCUGAGAGGAUGAUCAGCCACACUGGGACUGAGACACGGCCCAGACUCCUACGGGAGGCAGCAGUGGGGAAUAUUGGACAAUGGGCGAAAGCCUGAUCCAGCAAUGCCGCGUGAGUGAUGAAGGCCUCAGGGUUGUAAAGCUCUUUUACCCGGGAUGAUAAUGACAGUACCGGGAGAAUAAGCCCCGGCUAACUCCGUGCCAGCAGCCGCGGUAAU
rnacentral:rRNA from 1 species